AGGAUUGUCUGGCAAGGAAGGUACCAUGAUCAUGAAGAUGAUUGCAUUUCGAUGAAAUCCAUUGCAUUUCAGAUGUGCUGACCCCUGCAAAUCCCCCAAAUUGGGGAAACCUGGCUGUAUAAUUUGUGAAUGAAGAAAUAUGUAUACACACCCC
rnacentral:snRNA from 1 species